GCCAGGUCAUGCAGCCCCCACCCUGCGUCUGCACUGCACUCUCCGUCUCUCUGCCAGCCAGGCCUUCCUGCCCUAGACGCAUCCACAAAACUCUAUCGAUCCCCCCUUUCUCUGAGAGCUCUGGCCCCGGGUUCAAAUCUCUUACUAGCUAUGUGACCUUGGGUAAAAUCACUUUACCUCUCUGAGUUUUUGUUUCCUUUCCUAUGAAAUGCAGGCUGUAAAUGCUACUUGGCAGAGUUUCAGGGAUUAAAUGAGACACAAGAAGCACAGCCACAUGUAGUUUCUUCCUCCAGACCUGAGCAAGAACUGGGGGUGUGUUGUGGGGGAGAUAGAGAACUGGAUACCGAGGGGUCCUGAUUCAGAAACCCAGGGUCCGGGUGGAGAAUGAAGAUAAAUGUUGUUUAUAGAAUAGACACGAAGCGGGACUCAUCACACAGCGCCAGAGGUUUGGAUCUGGCACUUGUCACACUUGCAGUUCCCCGAUCUACAGCCACUGAGAGUUCAGCUGGGUCAGGCUUCUCUGGUCUAGAGCACCAAGGGGGCCCAGUGAUGGCGGCUGGUGUCUUCACUCAGGGCAAGGCAGGCUUCUGACUUGGGAGUCUUCCCACUGACAGUCCUGGGGUAUGAGAGGGCCCCCCUCCAGCCCCUUGAUCUAACCUAAGAUCAGAAGGGGGGCUGGGUCACCUGUUGGUUGGUAACACACGUCCCUCUUGGGCAGCCUUUAGCAUCUGUUCAUGCAGGGCUAGUGGCCUUGGUCUUUUUCUCCUCUACCUCUCUGACUCUAAAUUCUUCUGACUGCAGCUGUAAACAGGUAGGAAGCCCUGUGAAGGUAAGAGUUUGUCCUACACCUUUCAAAAUUCCACAGAAUACUAACUGAGAACGUGAUACACGGAAUGUCAUUGCCUCAGACCCUACAGAGAACCAGUAAGGAAGCAUCAUCAAAGGGGUGAGAAGAUAGAGGUGCAAAGAGAGGAAGGGAUCAUCUCCACGAAAGACCUCACAAAGUGAUGUGAGCUCAGAAGAUCAGAGUUGGUGUCUUCUUUCACUGAGGCCACAGGAUCACCCCAACAGGUUAUCAAUGGAAUUAUUGGAAUCAAUGGGAUCAGUGGAUUCACCUCCCUCCUUUGGGGUGCAAAAUUGCAUGUGUGCUGUGCAGCACAUCCAUUCGAAGUAGUCACAGGUCUGGUGCCGGUAGCCAUAAGAUUAACCGGGGCCACCUGUGUGGCUACGGGAUCGAGACCAUUUACUGAGGCCUGGUGGGAUCACUAGUGGGCACACAGCUGAGAGCAGUGGCUGCCUCAUUCCCUGAAUCCUUCAGUAGGAAACGGUUUAGCAGGGUGCUAAACUCCUACUCCAUCCUUGCCUGGCUACUGAUGGACCCAUUCAUGUGCAGACCCAGUGCAGUCCCAGGUUGAAAUUUCAUGACUGCAACGGCUGUGUGUGGCUCUGAAGAUGACACUUUGCAGUCUUGCUCCCUAUCCGUCAGCUCCUGGUUUCUGCCCCCUCUUCUGUACUGUUCCCAGCGCCUUGGCAGGGGUAGCAUAAACGUCUUCUUCAGAGCUGAGUACUCAUCUGCCUUAUUUUAGGAAACUGGAUCUCUCACUGAAUCUGGCUAGACCUAACUGUGGGGCAAGCCCCAAGGGAUC
rnacentral:sRNA from 1 species